rnacentral:rRNA from 1 species
UACGGAGGAUUCAAGCGUUAUCCGGAUUUAUUGGGUUUAAAGGGUGCGUAGGCGGUCGGAUAAGUUAGAGGUGAAAUCCCAGGGCUCAACUUCGGAAUUGCCUCUGAUACUGUUCGGCUAGAGAGUAGUUGCGGUAGGCGGAAUGUAUGGUGUAGCGGUGAAAUGCUUAGAGAUCAUACAGAACACCGAUUGCGAAGGCAGCUUACCAAGCUACUUCUGACGUUGAGGCACGAAAGCGUGGGGAGCAAACAGG